UUUAAAUAUUAAUUCAAAGUCCCUAUCCAAAAGUCAGCAGCCAGAUUAGUCAAAUAACAUAGUUCUGGAAGGACAGACGGAACCGUUGUCGUUUCAUAUAAGCCUCCUUUCUGUCCCUCGCUGCGCACUGUAGAAGCAGGAAGAAGUGCUGUAACAUUUUAAAUACAUUGCAUGCCUGUCCUCUUUGAGAUACAACCAUUAGAAUGGAGGCUGAAACGACAAAGUUGCUUAAUAACGGCUCACGCUGCAUAUUUUUCAAUACAGAUUCAGACGACUAUCGAUGUGUGGUGAUUUUAACGGUGAAGCGAGCAACGGGCACCUUCUCAUUAGUUGGAUGCUUUUUCAUGCUGUUUGUCAUCUGGUUGCUGCGCAGGUAUCAGUCUUUGGCUCAGAAGAUGAUUCUUAGCCUGACAGUAGCAGCCUUCUUUGACAGCGCAGCAUAUGUCAUGGGCGAGUCCCAUCCGGAAGGCUUUCUGUGCGCUUUUCAGGGGCUGUGGCUCACUUACUUUGACUGGUGUGCCCUGGCCUGGGUCUGCCUCAUCACAUUUAACCUCUACCUCAACCUGGUCAGAGAGAUCAGCACCAGCAGAUAUGAGACAUUGUACCAUGUGACCGCCUGGGGGCUGCCUCUCAUCAUGGCUGUCCUGCCCUUGCUGAAGGGCUGCUACGGUCCGGCGGGAGCCUGGUGCUGGAUCACAGACAAUCACGUAGCCUGGAGAUUUGGGAUAUGGUACGUUCCUCUGUUCACCCUCAUCGUCCUGAUGAUCUGCUGCUACGCCAGGAUCAUCUUCGUGGCCAAUCGAAGGAUGCAGUCCUGGCUUGGAACCUUCAACCCUGAGAGGGAGAGACGCAAGGUGUCCUUGGCUGAGGAUAUCAAGCCAUUAAAGUGGUACCCCUCGGUAUAUUUACUGGUGUCUCUCUUCCCCUCAUCAACAGGUAACACACUCACACACACACACACACACACACACACACACACACACACACACACACACACACACACACACACACACACACACACACACACACACACACACACACACACACACACACACACAUGCAUACAUUAAGGGCCAUCUUCAUCUGUUGAUGAGUUUCUUUUGAGUUCCCUGACCAGCCUUCUCUCUCUCUCUCUGUCUCUGUCUCUGUCUCUGUCUUUGUCUCACUCUCUCUUUCUCUCUCUCUCACUCUCUCUUUCUCUCUCUCUCACCAGCAAGAUUCAAGUUUCAAAGGGCUUUAUUGUCAUGGAAAAUAAACGUAACGUGGCUAAGGCCCAAACAUAAAGCUCCCAGGCGCCUUCCACCCCGUGGAUCCCUCCUUCGCCCUGACACUGCUACACGUGCUGACCGCUCCGCUCCACGGCCUGGCCAACGCGUUCGUCUUCGGGCUGGACAGGGACACCUGGGGCCUGCUCAGCCCCACGGGCAUACAGCUGGCCCUGCGGUCCCGACUGUGUGACAGCACACGUAUCGGGGAGUACCACCCCGGGGCGGUGCGCUACACGCAGGCUGACCUGACGGAGGACGAGGAGGACCUGGACGCCAACGUGCUCUUCUUCUCACCCCACAUGACCCUGAAGGACCGCACGCCCUGAGAGGGGAGGAGGGAGGAGGGAGGGAGGGAGGGAGGGAGAGAGAGAGAG
ensembl:lncRNA